UGUUCUUCGAGGACACGAUAAAAAUUGGAACGAUAGAGAAAUGAUUAGCAUGACCCCGUGCAAAGAUGACAUACGCAAAUCAGGAAAUUGUAUCAAAGUCA